GGGCGGAGCUGGGGCUCGCGUCACAGUGACUGCCACUGUUGCCUGGGGAACGGUAACAGCGGCUUGGCAGAGCAGGGGUCCUCUGUUUCUGCCUCAACGUUGGGCAACCUCACCCCCUCUCCAGGAGACCAUCGCCAGGGUCCCGCGAUUUUAGGAAUCUGGCAGGCCAAACCAGGCUGGGAAAAGUUCCGGCGGGGCUCCACGGAUGCCCAGGGCGAUACCCAAGUAUCCCCAGAAUGUUUCAGACCUGCACAGACAGUGUGAAGGGGCCUCUCUUUGAAAGCUGUCCCGGCUGGGAUUUCCAGAAAACUAGAGGAGGAAAACGAGGCUUCAUUUCUGAGGAAGAAAAACAUGAGGUUGGUAUAAGUUAAGCACUUUCACACAGUGUGAAGUUUCAGAAAUUUUCUUCCUUAAAAUUGUUUCCCUCAUAUCCUGAUUUUCUAUUGUUGUUUUAUUUUAACUUUUAUGGCAGGAAAGAGUUCCCAGAGAGAGAAGACAAAGGCAGUCGUUGUUGCAGCAGAAGCCCAAGGCUGAAGAUUGAAGAACUGAAUAUGUAACUUUGUAAGGGACCUGGAGACAAGGAAAAUCUUGUCAGGUGAGUUGGAUGCUAAAACCUUCUCUUUAGAGAUUAACUGUCCAUAUUUAUUAUUUUCUCAUCACAGAAAAAAUGUAAAAAUAAUGGCAGGGUAGGACCUUUCUUAAAGUAUUACGUAGUGAAAACAGUACUUUAGAAACAGAUUUUAUCCACUUACUACUCUCCCACACAUGGUUAUACUCCGGAUUUAGAUGUAAAUAAGAGUGAUAAUCUGACACAGGGAAUUAUGCUCCUCUUGACAAGAGACAUUAGCAACAGUCUCUCUUUUUAGGCCAUAAAUGUAAUUUGAUCUAAACACUUUGUACUAAGAUUCUUAUGUUUUAUGUCAAAGCAAUAAAGUUACUAAGCUGCGUUAGCA
rnacentral:lncRNA from 13 species